UCUCAUAUUUUUCGAGAACUAUAACAGAUAUGAAAAAAUAUUUUAAACAAAAGUUGUAGCGGCUACAAUUUUACAUAAAAAAGUCCGCAUCUUCGCAACCUUACCUGUAACAGGUGAAAAGUUAUUGACUUCUAAAGGUUGGAAAAAUUCAAAACAAUGAAAAUAUUGAACACCCUUUGGGCACGAUACUGCUGUGAGAGAAACAAAGCGAUAUGUCAGCGCUUGUCACACUCAUUGCGAGUAUUUAAUCAUAAUAAACGUGCCUAAACGAAACACAACGUAAACAAAACCCAUGGGAUAGACAAGGAAGGUUAUGUUUAUGUAUUCAAAAUAUAGGAAAGGAUAGCUGACGUCACAAGGUCAGCAUUUGUAAAACUUUAAAAAAAACUAAGUUUAACUAAUGAUACAUAGGGUAACUGGGGGUAGAAUAAAAACAAUAAUAAAAAACUAUUUGCAGAGUGAGCUCAAGUUUAUUUCAAUCAACUUUACUUAAAAAACAGAAUCGAUUAAAACUAACUUGAAACUAAUUCUACAUCCCCUACAAAUAGUCUAUUAAAAUUUUAUCCAUUUCAAGAUUUCACGAUUUAAAAUCUAAUAUGACUGGACUAAAUCAUCUCAGGCACAAUAAUUUGCUGUAAACGCAAAACUUUCGUGAAGAAUUACAAGAAGAAUGCUGGAGACGACUCACAAAUACUCGGACGAUUUAUCGUGCUGUUUCAAUGAAACAUCCGGAUGCAUCUGGAUUAGUGCCAUUUCACUCUGUUAAAAAUAAUAUGAAUCGGUGGCAACGAGACCAUCAUUUGCCUGAACCUCAAUCGCUGUCAAUAUUCAGAGCUCUUUUACAAUAACAAAUAUAUGAAAAUUUAUUGAUAUACGAGAGAGGAUCCUUGACAAUCAAUUUUUGUAAUAUUGCUGUAAAUCAUCGUGAUAAAAAGGCAGCUGUCAUUACUGAUAAUAGUUUAAUACGAAAAAUAGGAGCAAGAAAUAAUGAGCUGCUCGAUUUAUAUGUUGAUACCAACCAAGUUCUGGUUCCACCUGAUAUAGGUAUUUCUACAAUCAUGACCUGGAUUUUACCUCAUCGAAACUAUAGUUUUCCAAUAAUAUGGAAUUUGAAUGACAGUAACAAUACUUCAAUAUAUGAAGUUAUUGCUGAAAACGUUCAUGAUAAACUAAUAGAAUCAAAUAUCAAUAUCGAUACAGUUUAUUAUAAUUUCAAUCAAAAUCUGUACCACUUAAUUUCAACAACUUUUGAUAAUGUCAACAUCCACAGUUUGUUUACAUCACAUUGUCUGAUACUUUUAACCCGUGCAAAAAAAAUUGAAGGUUUUAAAAUUAAUAAUAGAGAUCAUCAAAUAUUGCUGAAAAAAUUUAUUUGUUUGAGCUGGUUACCAAGCGAUCAAAUUUAUCCUGCUUUUGUUGAAUUAUCAUAUAAUCUUUCGAUUAAAAUGAAAGACUCUAAUUUUGAAGAAUUCAUUAAAUAUUAUGGCCAAAUGUGGAUCAAUACUGUUGGAACAAAUAAUUACUCAUUUUAUCAAAACUUUGAUUUAUUUUGUCAAGUUUCUCAUAAAAAUUGGAAAAAAACACAAUCACACCUGAAUAAUAAUUUUAAUAUUUAGAACCUUUGCAAAUUGUAUUAUUAAAAUGGUUCAACUCUAUGUACAAGGAUUUAAAUCGUUUGGAAGAAGAUAAUGAUUAUCUUGUUGCUGCUCGUGUAAAGAUAUAUCCUUCAAGAAGUAAAUUAAGAAGAUUGUGGACGUUAUUUAAUGGACAUUUUAUAGACAGGAACGCAUUUUUAGCAGUCUCUUCAAACUUAAUUGAUGAAUAUUUUCAAGAUUUAAUAUUUAAUCAAGUGACAGUUGAUUCAGAUUUUGAGUUAGAGACACUAGUUCACUUAAAUCAUAAUUUACCAGAGGUACGAUUCAUUGAAAAUGAUGGAAAUUUCAACGAAAUUAUUUUACACGAUGUGCCAAAUCAUCGUCUCGAAAGAGUUUCAGUAAUGGAACCUUUUCUUUUAAAAUUUACAUUCUUUAUGCAGUUCAUCUUCUCUAUUUCUCAAUUACUGCACCCAGGUUUCGAGCUGAUGAUAUCUGUUUAGCGUGUGCUAAAAGGUACCCAUUUUAUAGAUUCCGGCCAUGUGGACAUGCAGUUUUAUGUAGAAACUGUUGUGAAAUUAUUGUAGCCUUAGCAGAAGCAGAAGAAGAAAGGAUAACAUACCCGGUUUGUCGGAGUCACCCUAGGGAAGCUGAGGAAAUUUAACCGAUUAUUCCAUGAUAAUUUUUAUUUUAAUCUCAGCUGAAAUGAUUCAGUUAAUAUUUAAUUCCUGUUUUGUUUUGCUAAUCUCAAUUCAAAAUUUAAAUUCGAGAAACAAUAUUCAGUACGAAAUUUAGAAGAUUCUAGUCUUUUAGAGGUAUUUCAAGAGUUCAACAUGUACCAUACUUUAUGUUAAGUAAUGAGUAAUUUUAAAAAGCUAAUAAAAAAAAAGGUGAUGUUAAUGGUACAGAAGACGAUGAAGAUGCUAGUAGUUUAGAGCAAGAAAUUGGUAAUUCUAAAUGAAAGUUUAUAAACUCCUUUUUUUCAUUUAUGAAAGUUUGGAUUGAA